AUGAUGACUGCUCGAGGGUCACCAAGGUUGAGCCUCCUCAAAAAAGCUGUCGAAAGGGAUAGAGCAUCACCUCCUACAAGCAGUGUGACAAAGAGGAUGAGAGGGUCUCCCAAAGAAGAUAGAGCACAGUGGAAUGCAAGCCUUGAGAAAGAUCUUGUGGACUUGCUUCGUGAGCAUGAUACACCUGAACAUAAGGGUCAAAAUGGAUGGAGCUCAGAAGCAUGGAAUACGAUAGUGAAGAAAUUCCACCAAAAGAAUCCUUAUGCUAGGUACGAGAAGAAGAAAAUCCAAGAAAAGGAAAAAGAGUUGAAAAGAGAAUACAAGAUGAUCAAAGAGAUAAGGAAGCAAAGCGGCGUUUCAUGGGACGACCGGCAGUGCAGGAUUCUAGCGGAUCCACCACUUUGGAAAAACAUCAUCAUAUCACACCCUAAAGCUGGAAAGUUCAAGACAAAAGCCUUCCCUCUUUUUGAAGCUUUGGGAGAAUUGCAUGAUGGCCAAACUGCAAAAGGGACAUAUAACUUCACCUCUAUCGAGUCAUCACAUUGCUCAACCCAAUUAGAUCUCGAGAAUCUUGGAGGAGCUAGCAAGAAUCAAGGAGAAACAUCAGUUGAUGGUGAGAAUCUUGGAGGAGAAAGGGUGCAGAUUGAUGAAGAUGUUGAGGAGGUUUACGUGCAAGAAAACAUUGAUGUGGAGCCCGAGCAAACUCAACCAAAUUUGGCUACUGCACCCUCAAGAAAUGGAGAAGAGAAAGAACCAAAGAGAAGGAGGGGGGCGAAUGGUGAUGUGGCUGCAAUGAUGGAGAAGUACUUGGACAUAAGGACGAAGCAGGUGGAGGAUGAGAGGAAUAAGCCAAAGGUCGUGGAUGAGUACUCUAUCAAAAACUGCAUUGAUCUGCUGAAAACAAUGGAGAUCACACUUGAAGAAGAAGUCAAGGCUUUCCGAGUCUUCAAGAUCCCCGAGAACCGAGAGAUUUUCGUGAGUGCCAGACCGGAGACUGCUCUUAUGUGGCUGAGAGCUGAAAUGGAAUAA
rnacentral:rRNA from 1 species